rnacentral:rRNA from 1 species
UGGUGGAGUGAUUUGUCUGGUUAAUUCCGUUAACGAACGAGACCUCGACCUGCUAAAUAGCUCGGCCUAAGGUUCGCCUUAGGUACGUGGCUUCUUAGAGGGACUAUCGGUGUGUAGCCGAUGGAAGUUCGAGGCAAUAACA